AAUAAGAGGUUUGUCUUUUUGUCUGGAAGCUGCCAAAAACUCUGGCUGUGCCAGAUAAAUCUGGCAUAAUGGCAUCCCUGAUCACACCCUUUAUUUUUAUUUGUUUCUUUUGUUACAAUAUAUGCAACUCGAUGCAACAGGAAGCGACGGCUAAAACAAUAGCCCAAAUACAUCAGCAACAAGAAGGAAAACUACGCACAAGAAAAUAGCAAACCAAAAUCUCUCUACUAUCUAUUAAUUUUUUGCCUCCGAUUAUCCUCUAUGUAAUGUAUCUGAAACUUGUGGAACUAGUUAACAGCCGGCGCCUGCUUGUGAAAGAAACUGGUGUACUAUACGGACUAGCACAUGCGAACAGUUAGGCUUUGUAGGGUCUCAUCUUGACAGAGUCUAGAUGGGCGGAUGAACAUCUGCCAGAGUUCGGACUGAGAAAUGACAAUGAAAAUGAUGAAAUCUGCGAGCCUACAUCUAAAAUUUCCGGGAAUCAGAGGGAGAAGAUUCGUCUUGUUUGAUAUUUUCCCGGCAAAUGGAGUAUUCUAGCCGGAUCUGUAGGAAUUCUUAAAAAUGCACCGAUUAUGCUGAUGCUGGAAUGAAAAAUAACUGCAAGCACGCCAAAUGUAAUACUAGUGAAAAAGAUUCGCACCAAAGCUGUUACCUUUUCUGAUGACGAAGAGUUUGGAGAACCUCAUCAUGCACACCGAAGUGGUUACGAGCGCAUAAAAACAAACGAUGCACAAAAGUCUCUAUUCUUUUCAGA